rnacentral:rRNA from 1 species
UAUUCCCCACUGCUGCCUCCCGUAGGAGUCUGGGCCGUGUCUCAGUCCCAAUGUGGCCGUCCGCCCUCUCAGGCCGGCUAUUGAUCGUCGCUUUGGUGGGCCGUUACCCCGCCAACUGGCUAAUCAAACGCGGAUCCAUCCUGUACCGAUAAAUCUUUUGCCUCAGGAGGAUGCCCUCCCGUGGUCUCAUGCGGUAUUACCAGCCGUUUCCAGCUGCUAUCCCCCAGUACAGUGCAGGUUCUCCACGCGUUACUCACCCGUCCGCCACUAUGUAAUGAAAUCAGUCCGAAAACUUCAAUCAUUACACCGUUCGACUUGCAUGUGUUAGGCACGCCGCCAGCGUUCAUCCUGAGCCAA